UAGUAGCAGUAGCUAUACAAACUGCACUGGUAUCAGAUGCACUACCUGCAGUCAUGUAAGUUGCAUACGUACUUUAUCUUCCAGAGAGCGACCCAGCUGCAGCCAAGUCAGCAGUGAAAAGACCAGAAGACGUGAAUCAUGGACAAUUUGUGUCUGAAGACAUGACAUCAAACAGGACGAGAGUCAGUGAACCAGCUGCAGUUUACUCAGCAGUGAGAAGGACAGAAGAUGUCAGUUACGGACAAGUGGUUAUCAAAGACGUCAAAUCAAAGAGGACGAGAGAGCCUCCAGCAGAGCCACAGGUCGUCUACUCUUCACUGAGGUAGACCUUCACACCUUCACACCAGUCCAACCAGUGAAUCCAGCUGGCCUGUCACUGGUCCCCACAGCCCCUCACACCUCAGGACAUUCAUGGGCUUUAUUUCUUAUUUCUAUAUGUGAAAGUUAAAUGAGACUGGUGCAGCUACAGAGAGACAAACAGCUUCACUUUACACAUUAUUGUUUUACUUUUCUUUGGAUAAAUAACUUGUUAAAUACUUAUUUGUUUAGGUGGUAGUGUUUCAGUAGGGUGAAGAACACCGACAUGUUUCUACUGAACAGAAGCUGCUGAUAAUAAUGAACUUUACUGCUCUAAUAUUGAUAUCAAGUGGUGUCUCUGCAGGAUCAAUAAACUCUGGUAUCUCUGCCUGUC